GAAACCCUGCCUGUGACGAGCUGUACAAGGCCUGGCUCAGCGGCUGGCGGGACAGCAACUGGAGACUUAGGAAGAAAAACAACUUCUAAACGUGGUGUUCGUGCAAGAAAGUAUCAGAAAGUGGAAAAUCUCUGAUCCACGCCAUCUGUUUGUCUCAUCCAGUGGUGCAUUCCAAUCUCUGCAACAGAAGAUUCAUGACAACCUGCCAAUAAAAUUCCUGAGAUUGUCAAAACGCAGAAUACUUCUGAAAAAGUUUAAGAUAAGAUUCUUUCAUGUUUAAAUUCCUCAUACACACCCUUUCUCUCAGAGCACAGCUGGCUUCAGUACCAGAUUUCAGAUGCUGUGAAAUUAAAUCCUCUCUUAGCCAUAGAUGGCUAUCAUUGCUUGGGAACUGACACUAUCAUGGUAAGACUAAAAUCCAAACAGCAGUGGCUUGUUCAGGCCAGGGGCAGCCUCUGGAUGCCAGGCAUAUUCAGUUUAUUUAAGAGAAAAAAGUAACCUCAAGCACUUUUGGGUUUUUUCUUUUUUUUUUUUUUUUUGAGGAAGAUUAGCCCUGAGCUAACAUCUACUGCCAAUCCUCCUCUUUUUGCUGAGGUAGACUGGCUCUGAGCUAACAACCGUGCCCAUCUUCCUCUACUUUAUAUGUGGGACGCCUGCCACAGCAUGGCUUGACAAUCGGGGCAUAGGUCCGCACUCCAGAUGCCAACCGGUAAAUCCUGGGCCACUGAAGCGGAACGUGUGAAUUUAACUGCGGUGCCACCAGGCCAGCCCCUUUUGUUUUCUUUCAGUUGUGAAAAAAUGCAAGUAUACAAUUCAGAGUUAGAAGCUUAAUCAUCUAAAAGGCAAAUUUAGUAUUAUGAAGCAACUCCUUUGUACAUCAGCUUGCCAGUUCUCCUGGACAUUAGUAGAAUCUCACUAAGGAAGUUAUUUUUUCGAAGCCAUAAAGAAAAAUUACGAAAACAAUUCUUGAUUGAGUAAAACUCUCCCAUUGACCUCCAGAGGAGUUUCUCAAUCACUUCCCCUGUCCUUUCUAAUCAGUCCCUACGCCACACCAAGUGCAGAAAAGACUUGAACCUGCGUUUUUCCAACCCAAGUUUACUGUUGCUUUUUAGGAUAUUGUAUGAAUUGUGCGCCAGCCAUCUAGACAAUGCUAGAGGAACAACAGUGUACAGGAAAAUGCAAGGGUCCUGGCUCUGUCUUAGAGGAGUAGAAUCAUAUUCAGCAGAUCCUGCAUAUUCCUGGAAGGGGCUUUCUGACCACAUGAUCUUCAGGGUGACACAUGGACAAGAAACAGAUCUUCUUCUUGUAAUAAAUGGAUCUGCUGUGAGCCUCACAAAAAUCAACUGCAGUUUUGCAUAUUAACAUGCUCAUUCAUCAAGUAACCAUAAAAAUGUCCUGUGAAUUAAAAAAAAAAGAAAUUGAGAUAGGGAAAACACAGGUGCUCCACCCAGGGGGAAAAAAUGUAGCACUUUAAUGUAGACUAACUGAUUUCAGCUAUUAGGAAACCUAGGGAAUCCCAUCCCUUUACAAAAAUAUUUUCAAAUUCUCUUUGAAAAGCAGAGUGGGAAAAUGUUGAGGAAAUAAGGCCUUCCUGUUUCUGCCACAUGUGGAUAAUUAUCCAGCUGCAUUUCCAAAAUAAGAAUGGCUGGAAAAUUCUUUCGGAGAGCUUCUUGCAGCUGAAUAUCAAAGGAAAUUUGCACGUUUCUGAAACUAUUGUUCUUGGGGUUCAUGACAGAAUUAUGAGGGCUCUCCUGUUUUUGUCUCUAAAUACAAAUAAAUAAACUUCAGUGAUUUGAACCUAUGGGAUC
rnacentral:lncRNA from 1 species